rnacentral:rRNA from 1 species
AAACGACUCUCGGCAACGGAUAUCUCGGCUCACGCAUCGAUGAAGAACGUAGCAAAAUGCGAUACUUGGUGUGAAUUGCAGAAUCCCGUGAACCAUCGAGUUUUUGAACGCAAGUUGCCCCCGAAGCCAUUCGGCCGAGGGCACGCCUGCCUGGGCGUCACGC